GUGUGGGUUGUUUUGUGUUUGUUUUUUAAACAGUUCAGCGUUCUCCAAAAGAAAAAGAAAUCCUGCAUGUGUGCAAUAUUAUCAUAGCUCUGGCACUGUUCAAGCAGGAGUCCUUAUGGUCUUAAAUGGAAAACAUCUGCAAACAAGAUGCAGAACAUAUUUAUUUCACUUGCAGGACUGAGAGCUUCUGAGAGAACCUGAGAUUCAGUGACCAGAAAAAGGGCAGCACACAAGGGAGCUGCAAAAUUGGAGUUGCAGUAUUAGUGAAGCAACAACUGACAUUAACAUUUCAGGAGGAGGAGGAGGAAGUGAAGGAAGGGAGAACCCAUGCCGGAGCAGAGGAAAACUGUGAGAAGGAAGGAGCGGCAGAGAGAAACGGUGAUGUACUGACUAAGUUUGACCAGGAGGAGCAUUAGUUUAUCUGAUCAGCUGCUGAAUGCUUCCAUGCUCAUUUUGCAUUCCUAAACUUCCUAAAGCCCUAAAACUUCAUUUAGCUAAAUCCUGGUUUCAGUUCAACAUGAAGAGACAAAGCAAUGACUGGUCCCUUUGUUCCAACAAUUAAUCAUUUGUUCGAAUUAUUAAACUGUCUGACAG